rnacentral:pre_miRNA from 2 species
GUUCAGGUGGAUGAUGCUUGGCUCGAGACCAUUCAAUAUGAUCAUUGUGAUGAUGAUGAUAAUGAUAAUGAUGUCGGACCAGGCUUCAUUCCCCUCAAC